rnacentral:ncRNA from 1 species
GAACGAUAAUGGCAAACUUGCUGAAAAGCAAGGACGCAAAGCCAUAGGGCCUAAUCGCCGCCGUAGACGGGGCAUUUGGCAGCCUGGUUACCGAA